UAAGGAAUAUUGGACAAUGGUCGCAAGACUGAUCCAGCCAUGCCGCGUGCAGGAAGACGGCCCUAUGGGUUGUAAACUGCUUUUGUACCAGAGAACACCUAUCUACGUGUAGAUAGCUGAUAGUAUGGUAAGAAUAAGCAUCGGCUAACUUCGUGCCAGCAGCCGCGGUAAGACGAAGGAUGCAAGCGUUAUCCGGCUUCAUUGGGUUUAAAGGGUGCGUAGGCGGGCUUGUAAGUCAGUGGUGAAAUCUCUCAGCUUAACUGAGAAACUGCCAUUAUACUGCAGGCCUAGAGUAUAGAUGACNUUGGCGGAAUAUGACAUGUAGUGGUGAAAUACUUAGAUAUGUCAUAGAACACCGAUUGCGAAGGCAGCUAACGAAACUAUAACUGACGCUGAGGCACGAAAGUGCGGGGAUCAAACA
rnacentral:rRNA from 1 species